rnacentral:rRNA from 1 species
UACGUAGGGGACAAGCGUUGUCCGGAUUUAUUGGGCGUAAAGAGCGUGUAGGCGGCCAGGUAGGUCGGUUGUGAAAACUGGAGGCUCAACCUUCAGACGUCGACCGAAACCAUCUGGCUAGAGUCCGGGAGAGGAGAGUGGAAUUCCUGGUGGUAGCGGUGAAAUGCGCAGAUAGCAGGAGGAACACCGGUGGCGAAGGCGGGUCUCUGGGCCGUAACUGACGCUGAGGAGCGAAAGCAUGGGGAGCGAACAGG